rnacentral:tRNA from 3 species
GCCCGGGUGAUGAAAUUGGUAGACGUAGGGGACUCAAAAUCCCCCGCCGCAAGGCGUGUCGGUUCGAGUCCGACCCCGGGCACCA